UACAGAGGUCUCAAGCGUUGUUCGGAUUCAUUGGGCGUAAAGGGUGCGUAGGCGGCGCGGUAAGUCGGAUGUGAAAUCUCGGGGCUUAACUCCGAAACUGCAUUCGAUACUGCCGUGCUUGAGGACUGGAGAGGAGACUGGAAUUUACGGUGUAGCGGUGAAAUGCGCAGAUAUCAGGAGGAACACCGGUGGCGAAGGCGGGUCUCUGGGCCGAUACUGACGCUGAGGAGCGAAAGCGUGGGGAGCGAACAGG
rnacentral:rRNA from 1 species